GCACUGGUUUAUCCGGAGAUACGCGUCCUUGAAUGUAUGGAACUUGGUUGGGUCAUGGUGAGACAACGUUCUCAUACUUCUUUGCCAGCAAAUUUCACCCAUCUACGUCGGGAUAUUGGCCAGAUCAAGGCAGCGGACUGAAGCUGCCAAGUGGGCCUCGCGACCGGGCGAGGAGCUCAGUGAUAACGGAUGUAAAUAUUCAUUGCUAACUCACACCUUUGAUCGGCACCUAGGGAAUCAAUCCCCAGCCGAGCUUGUAAGAAGAAUAUCCCCGCCGUGGAAAAUAAAUACGUCAAAAUCAAAUCUCACCUGUGAACUUUGUCAACUCCGGUCAACAGGUGAUAAUACGCUCGACCAUUCCACUGAAGAUCCAAGCGUGAAAUGGGCCUCAUGGAAGGUAUAGCGCAUGAUGACAGCGAAA
rnacentral:sRNA from 2 species